rnacentral:rRNA from 2 species
UCAUAGAAUUUUUUUAAGUUCAUGAUGUCGUAAGGGAAAAUAAUGAUAUUACCUUACUAUGAGUGUCGUCCAAAGCUGGUGCCAGAAGACUCGGUAAGACCAGAGACGCAAACGUUAAUCAUCUUAAACAGGCGUAAAGGGUUUGUAGGCAGCUUUCAUAAGAUUAUUUCUUACAAAAAUAAAGAAGUGGUCUGAUUGAAAGCUAGAAUCAAAAAGAGGUUAUAGUGUAUAACGCCUAGAGGAGGGCUGAUAUCCUUAGAUCCUAGGCAGAAUACUUAGGGCGAAGGCCACUCUCCACUAAUGAUUGACGCUGAGAAACGAAGGUAAGGGUAGGAAAUAGGAUUAGAUACCCCGGUACUCCUUUCUGUAAACGAUGAAUGGUAGUCAUUAGUAAAAUUAAAAAUUACUAGAGACGAAGUUAACACAAUAACCAUUCCGCCUUGUGAGUACUACUGCAAAGUAGAAAACAAAAAAAUUAGUCGGUCUCGAAGCAAACGGAGUGAAGCAUGUUAUUUA